rnacentral:rRNA from 1 species
AGCGAACGUUAGCGGCGGGCCUAACACAUGCAAGUCGAACGCGAAAGGUCUUCGGACUGAGUAGAGUGGCGCACGGGUGAGUAACACGUAGGUAAUCUACCCUUUGGCGGGGGAUAACGUUCCGAAAGGAGCGCUAAUACCGCAUAAGACCACGGAGUCUCCGGACGCUGUGGGAAAAGGUGGCCUCUUCUUGAAAGCUACCACCGAAGGAUGAGCCUGCGUCCCAUCAGCUAGUUGGUAAGGUAAUGGCUUACCAAGGCGAAGACGGGUAGCUGGUUUGAGAGAAUGAUCAACCACACUGGCACUGGAACACGGGCCAGACUCCUACGGGAGGCAGCAGUGAGGAAUAUUGGGCAAUGGGCGAAAGCCUGACCCAGCCACGCCGCGUGAGUGAUGAAGGCCCUCGGGUCGUAAAGCUCUGUGGAGAGGGACGAAAACCCUGGUUUCAAAUAGGCUCCAGGCUUGACGGUACCGGAAUAAGAAGCACCGGCUAACUACGUGCCAGCAGCCGCGGUAAAGUA